UUUCCGUAGGUGAACCUGCGGAAGGAUCAUUACUGAGUGAGGGCCCUCUGGGUCCAACCUCCCACCCGUGUUUAUUAUACCUUGUUGCUUCGGUGAGCCCGCCUCACGGCCGCCGGGGGGCAUCUGCCCCCGGGCCCGCACCCACCGAAGACACCUAGAACUCUGUAUGAAGAUUGCAGUCUGAGCAAAAACUAAAUAAGUUGAAACUUUCAACAACGGAUCUCUUGGUUCCG
rnacentral:misc_RNA from 1 species